GAAUUUUGGACAAUGUGCGAAAGCCUGAUCCAGCAAUGCCGCGUUCAGGAUGAAGGCCUUCGGGUUGUAAACUGCUUUUUUACGGAACGAAAAGCUUUGGGUUAAUACCCUGGAGUCAUGACGGUGCCGUAAGAAUAAGCACCGGCUACCUACUUGCCAGCAGCCGCGGUACUACGCAGGGUGCAAGCGUUAAUCGGAAUUAAUGGGCGGAAAGGGUGCGCAGGCGGUUUUGUAAGACAGGGGUGAGAUCCCCGGGCUCAACCUGGGAACGGCCUUUGGGACUGCAAGGCUAGAGUACGGCAGAGGGGGGUGGAAUUCCGCGUGUAGCAGUGAAAUGCGUAGAUAUGCGGAGGAACACCGAUGGCGAAGGCAACCCCCUGGGCCUGUACUGACGCUCAUGCACGAAAGCGUGGGGAGCAAACA
rnacentral:rRNA from 1 species